rnacentral:rRNA from 1 species
GACGAACGCUGGCGGCGUGCCUAAUACAUGCAAGUAGAACGCUGAAGGAGGAGCUUGCUUCUCUGGAUGAGUUGCGAACGGGUGAGUAACGCGUAGGUAACCUGCCUGGUAGCGGGGGAUAACUAUUGGAAACGAUAGCUAAUACCGCACAAUAGCAGUUGUUGCAUGACAACUGUUUGAAAGGUGCAAUUGCACCACUACCAGAUGGACCUGCGUUGUAUUAGCUAGUUGGUGGGGUAACGGCUCACCAAGGCGACGAUACAUAGCCGACCUGAGAGGGUGAUCGGCCACACUGGGACUGAGACACGGCCCAGACUCCUACGGGAGGCAGCAGUAGGGAAUCUUCGGCAAUGGACGGAAGUCUGACCGAGCAACGCCGCGUGAGUGAAGAAGGUUUUCGGAUCGUAAAGCUCUGUUGUAAGAGAAGAACGAGUGUGAGAGUGGAAAGUUCACACUGUGACGGUAUCUUACCAGAAAGGGACGGCUAACUACGU